UGGCCAGCUUCUCGGCCGUGUACGGGUCCCACAGGUCGAUCCACCAGCUGGCGCCACUGAAGGCCGCCGUGGCCAGCAGGGCGCCGUCGGGGGAGAAGUCGCAGGAGGAGAGCAGGUACAGUGUCUUGUGGUUGCCGCCCGUCAGGUUCCUGAUGAAGGUGUACGAGCGCAGACUCCACAGGCACACCAUCUAAGAAAGAAACCAAAAACCACCGUGACCGCCGUCCCGCCCGUGUCCGACUCGGUCGGGAUGCUCGGUAACGGCCGACGCUCACUCUGUCAAACCUCCCCACGGUGGCCAUCAUGCUGCAGUCUGGCGACACGCAGCAGCAGCUGAUCCAGUCCUUGUGGCCUGACAGCACCUGGACCUGCUUACCUGCCCGUACAGUCAUGACAAGUCAGUGGAUUAACCCCGCUUCACUUCUUCUGACACUUAAGAAUUUUACAAACCGUGCCUUUGCGUUACGCACAUGAAUAAACGAUCCAUUUAUAACUCUUUUAUUGUUUAACAUCCUGCUAUUUGCAAUGCUUCACUUCUUUUUACACUUUUUUUUUCCAUAUCACGUGGCUAUUAUGUUUUUGUAAUUACAGGAAGUGCGCGAGUUACGAACGAGUUCCGUUCUACGCUGGUGACGUAACCCGAUUUUCCGCAUAAGUCGCAUUUCACCGUUAAAGUCAAAAUACUCUGUAUAAAAAAACAAAAAUACAUUACAAUAAAAAAAUAAGAUGCUGUACUUACCAUUUCUGUUGAGAGGUGACUGGAGAAGAAGGAGGGGAGGCUGUGAGAGCUAUUGCUGAGGAUGCAUGUGUAGAAAACUUGCUCCGCAAGAUACCCACCCACUCGGAUUCUCUUGGUUAGAUGACCCGGAAAAACUUUUGCAGCAGCUUCAUCUGCGGAAGCAGCUUCCCCCUGGACCCGGAUAUUAUGAAUAUUACCACGGGUCUCAUACUGUAAGCCAGCCCUUGCUAGCGGAAAAUUCCUCCUCCUCAGCGUUCUUGCCUUUUUGCUCUUUCAAAGUUUGGAAAAUACGUCGUGCCUUUUCCUGAAUGAGCAUUAGGCUGAUAUUAAGCCUGCGUUGAUUCUGAUCUUCGAUCCAUAAGGUAAGUCAUCUUUCCAUCUCGGCAAGGAUGGAAGAACGUUGCUUUGUGAUUACUGUGUCCUUCAUAGGGGCGAAACCCUUCACGUGCUUUAAAAUUGUCCUUAAUAAUGGUUGCUACGGUCGACCGACUGAAGCCAAAGUCUUUUCUGAUGUUCGUCGGUGUCUCUCCUUUCUCCAAUCUUUUUAUGAUGUUAUGCUUAGUUUCCAGCUUUUCUUUUGGUUGGACCAUUAUAACCAGAAGACCCAGCUUUCUUCUUUAGGGCAAUAAUGUGAAAAAGGGGGAGCGAAAAAGGCAAACAUACUCCCGGCGCACAAGAACGAUGCACUAGCUAAGCAGAAACACUAUGGUGCUGGGGACAAAAUGGCGGAAGAGGCAUGGGCGUCGUAAAGUCGAAACGUCGUACGUUGGGUACAUUGUAACUCGAGGACUUCCUGUAUUAUGUACUAGUUAAGUCCUUCAUUGGAUCAAUAGUUCAUAUCACUUUAAAUACGUCUGUGUAGGCUCUCAGUCGUACAGGAGUUGUCCAACAAGGGAAAGGCUUCUUGAGACGUCAUCUGUACUUCUGUGAAGAAGGUGUCGGACGUUUCGCUCCUCACCCGAAGAGCUUCGUCAGCGAACUAAUAAGUGCUGGUGUCUUAGGCCUUAAAUACAGUAAGAGUGGGCGGAAUUGGUGUGCCAACACCCUCCUCCUAUUGGUUCCUUACACUAAGACUGGGCGGAGUAGUGGUAUAAUCCUCUCCUGCCAUUAGCACCUCCGAUAAAAGGGAAGUGUAGCUCCCUGUAGUUGGGUAUGAACAAUUCUGAUACUGGCUCGUUAGCAUCUAUUGUUCUGGCUCGGCCCUGGCUCCACCUCAUUUGCAAGACUAAGAGCUGUGGGUUUCGGUCUCAGUAACCUGCUGAACACAGGGUCCAAAUUAAACCUCAAACCACCAUUCCGAUUCAAUGAUGGGUUCUGUUGUUUGACAAAAAUAGCUUCCUUUACUCCUCUUUCAAACCAUCUGUUUUCUUUGGCCAAAAUCUUUACCUCGCUGUCCUGAAAAGAGUGAUUGGUUGCUUUAAGGUGUAGAUGUACUGCUGAUUGAGGACCACUAGAAUUGUCCCCGCGAUGUUGAUAAAGCCUUUUUUGGAGCAUUUGCUUAGUUUCCCCAAUGUAGUGCUCUUUGCAUUCCUCAUCUUUACAGUGGAUGGAAUAGACCACAUUGCUCUGUUUUUGGUUUGGAGCCUUGUCUUUAGGAUGCACUCGUUUUUGUCUCAGGGUAUUUACUGGUUUGAAAUAGGUAGAGCGGAACAAAUACCAACUAGUGCUGAGGGAAAGAAAAAGGAGACACAACAUGUCCAGAGAGCGCUCUCAACCUGUGGGUACCCGCGGUGGGCUUUUAACAAAUGUCAAAAGAAGAGAGUAGGGAAAGAAACCCAAAAGCCCACAGAAGCAAAAAGGAGAGGAGUGGUAGUCCCUUAUGUAGCUGGGGUCUCCGAAAAACUCCAGAGGAUCUUAUGACAACACAAAAUUCCUACCUAUACCUAUAUUUCAUGUGGGCAAUGACAGUGUGACCUGGAGGGGCAUGAUUGGGAGGAACGGCCUCCCCGAUCUGAAUCCGUGCAGUGUGAUGUUGUUGGACUUCUGUGCGAACGACAGUUUGUUCAUCACAAACAUCAUGUUCCAACAUAGGGAUGUCCACAAGUGCACAUGGCACCAGGACACCCUAGGCUGCAGGUCUAUGAUCGACUUUGUAGUUGUAUCAUCAGACCUGCGUCCGCAUGUUCUAGACAUGUGGGUGAAGAGAGGGGUUGAGCUGUCAACUGAUCACCACCUGGUGAUGAGUUGGAUUAGAUGGCGGGGGAGGAUUCCGGACAGACCUGGGAGACCCAAACAUGUAGUGAGGGUGUGCUGGGAACUUUUGGUAGAGUCUCCUGUUGGUCGAGUCUUCAGCUCUCACCUCCGGCAGAGUUCCGCCUGCACCCCGGGGGAGGAUGAGGAUAUUAAGUCUGAAUGGGCUCUAUUCCGUGCCUCCAUUGCUGAGGCAGCUUAUGGGAGCUGCGGCCGCAAGGUGGUCGGUGCCAUUCGUGGCGGCAAGCCCGGAACGUGAUGGUGGACACGAGAGGUUAGGGCUGCUGUCAAGCUGAAGAAGGAGUCCUAUCGAGCAUGGAUGGCUUGCGGGACUCCUGAAGCAGCUGAUAGGUACCAGCAGGCCAAGCGGCACGCGGCUUCAGCGGUGGUGGAGGCAAAAACUCGGGUGUGGGAGGAGUUCGGUGAGGCCAUGGAGCAUGGUUUUCGGUUGGCCUCGAAGAGGUUCUGGCAAACCGUCUGGCGCCUCAGAAAGGGGAAGCAGUGCCUGGUCCACACUGUUUACAGUGGGGACGGGGGCCUGCUGACCUCGACUGAGGCUAUAGUCGGACGGUGGAAGGAAUACUUUGAGGCCCUUCUCAAUCCUACUGACAUACCUUCCAUAGAGGAAGCAGAGUCUGAGGACAGAAACGCGGACAGUUCCAUCACCGUGGCUGAGGUAUCUGGGGCAGUCAAAACGCUCCCCAGUGGCAAAGCUCCGGGGGUGGACGAGUUUCGCCCUGAAUUCCUCAAGGCCCUGACUGUCUUGGCUGACGCGUCUCUUGAACAUUGCGUGGAAGUUGGGAACAGUACCUCUGGAUUGGCAGACUGCGGUGGUGGUCCCCUUUUUCAAGAAGGGUGACCGGAGGGUGUGUUCCAACUACAGGGGGAUCACACUCCUCAGCCUCCCUGGGAAAGUCUAUUCCAGGGUGCUGGAGAGAAGGGUACGACCGUUAAUCGAACCUCCGCCAAGGCUGCCAUUUGUCACCGAUUCUGUUCAUCAUUUUCAUGGACAGAAUUUCUAGGUGCAGCCAAGGUGUCAAGGGAGUCCAGUUCGGGGGCCUUACAAUCAUCUCUGCUAUUUGCAGACAAUGUGGUCCUGGUGGCCUCAUCGGACUGUGACCUGCAGUGUUUACUGGGACGGUUUGCAUCUGAGUGUGAAGCUUCUGGGAUGAGACUCAGCACCUCCAAAUCUGAGGCCAUGGUUCUCAGUCGGAAAAGGGUGGAUUGCUUCCUCCGGGUUGGGAAUGAGGUCCUGCCCCAGGUGGAGGAGUUCAAGUAUCUCGGGGUCUUGUUCACGAGUGAGGGAAGGUUGGAGCGUGAGGUCGACAGGCGGAUCAGCGCAGCGUCUGCAGUAAUGCGGUCGCUGUACCGGACUGUCGUGGUGAAGAGAGAGCUGAGCCGGAAGGCAAAGCUCUCAAUUUACCGAUACAUCUAUGUUCCCACCCUCACCUAUGGUCAUGAGCUUCGGGUUGUGACCGAAAGAACGAGAUCGCGGAUGCAAGCGGCUGAAAUGAGUUUCCUCCGUAGGGUAGCUGGACUCACCCUAAGAGACAGGGUGAGGAGCUCAGUCAUCCGGGAGGAGCUCAGAGUAGAGCCGCUGCUCCUUCACAUCGAGAAGAGACAUUUGAGGUGGCUCGGGCAUCUAAUCCGGAUGCCUCCCUGGUGAUGUGUUCCGGGCAUUAUUAAUAUUUCUAUCAAUAAAUGUUCAUAUUUAAUGUCACUUGUUUUUAAAAUGAUUAUCAAUUAAUAUUAUUUUUGAUUAAAACAUACAUCCAUAGUUAAUAUCACGUCUUUUUACACUUCAAAUGAUUAUUAUUUAAAAAAAUAGAUUUUACUUCUUUUCACACUUGGGUGGCAGUUAAAGUGAAGUAGGCGAGUUAAGGUGAGUCUGUGCUUGUUUUGUUGGAUAUUCUAUUUUUAUAAUUGUUAUGUCUUAAUAUUUCUAUGAAAUAAUUGGACUAAUUAUUUUACAUGAUUUCUUCAAGUGAUUUUUUUUUUUUUUUCCAACAGAGUACACCAAUUUGGGAGUCUGACCAAAACUGCUACAGCAUCAUUGAAUGUUUUGCUAUUUGCUAACUUGUGGCUAACUUCUUUUUACACUUGAAUGACAGCCAAGAACGCUGAAUCACCUUUGUGCAUAAGGUCCCAGAUCCUCAAAGUCUUGUCCCGGGACGAGGACACAAGGGUGAGCGUCCCGUUCCGAGGGAACACGAGGUGGCGAACGACGCCUUCGUGGCCGUGGAGGUCAAACACGGCCACGCCUGAUGGACACGCGGGAAUAAAAGCAUCAAGUAGAGACAACGGCGGCGUCCUCGACAGGAGGCCGCCUUUGGGGGUCUGGGUCCGAAAGCGAGCCCCCACACGGGAUGACCGCAGCUGAAGCUCUUGUCUCCUCGGUCCACGCCCCCGUCCUGACCUUCUCUGUGGAGGACAACCCACAAAAGAUGGAAGGUGGGGUGCGUACAGGACGGGAUGUGGUGGAUCUGGACCAGGGUGGUGUGACCCGUGUCCGUCAGCGGGGGCAGUCGAGGGACGGGCGCCUGGAAGAUCUGCUCGUCGUCCGACUCCACCAGGCUCAGCACGUCGCCUCUGUCGUCGUCGUCGUCGUGCGGGCGCCUGAAGAGACGCGACGAGGUGAGGAGAUGUCUGAAUGAUUUGUCUCAAAAUGUUAGGAUUGCCUCAAAUAGCGGCCUCCGCUCUAAUGGACGCCCUUCCCCUAAACAGUCAAUAUGACAAAUUGGACCAGUUUUUAACAGAAUGAAAGCCUGAAAUGAGAAGAUGCAUGUUUCUAUUGUCUAAUUGCAAUGUGUUGAAAACAAAUGGUGCUUAGAAUGGACGUCAGUGGGACCUCAACAGCUCGGAAAUUUGGAAUCGGGCCCGGAAAUAAACUUAAAGCAUCAAAAUCAAUUUUAUUACUAAUCUUAUGUACGUAUAUUUAAGCCUAACACGUAUUAUAUGGAAAAUAACUCAUUUUGUGAGUGUUUUUCUAAGCAAAAACAGUGCAUCAAACGGGCAUUUAGAGGGUUAAAAUAUACAUUUUUGAUAUUUUGUCAUUAGAACUCAAGUUGACUGACAUGCUUGAAUAAAAAAUAAAUGGAUCUGUUAUGUUUUUAUAACAGUUUUUGGGAGUAGACGUUUUUUUGUCCUCUGGGAUCCCGAAACGGUGGGUAUAUUUGGCGUGAGCCUCAAAUUUUAAAUUUGAACUUAAUGAUUUUUCAUGAAAAAAACCAUCUUAGGAAAAGUCGUGCCACAUGGAGUAACACAAGCCAAGUUAUGAGCAAAAAAAAAAGCAAAAAAUGUACCUGCAAAAGGCAAAAAGAAGUCCUGAGGGACCCCAGAGGGUGAAAGGAAGACUGCACUUUUUUGGGGUGGGGGAAUUUAGCCCAUCAUCCAUGAUGCUUAUGUGAAACACGAACACAUCUUUCCCUUGUCCGUGCGUUCUAAAGGGAGAAUCAUGGCGAGCUGAGGGCGCCAACAAUGGACGUAAUGGGACGAUGAAGCCCUCUAAGAAAAGCCCCAGCACGGUUUGGGAGCAUGUAGUAACAGCUACGUUCAUGGCACCACGGAGUACUUCAUGUCUUCAUGCUUCACAUAAGGACUGGGGGAAAAACUCCCCCCAAAAGUGCGGAGUUGAGUGAACAAAUGGUGGCGUUGGCCAAGCUGACUCACCCAAAGGCUCCUCCUGCAAGACAACACACGGGGGGAAAGUCAGCACGUGCGCGCACGGCGUCGUUCCGCGUCUUUGGCCAAACAUCUUGAACUUACCCAGGCAGACUCUGUGCCGGUUGGCGUAAACCACCUUGGCCACCACCACGGCCCAGCCCACGAUGAGCGCUGCGAUGAACACGCCCACGAUGGCGCCCGUGUACGCCGAGGAAGACGCUGUGGGGACACGGGGAAAAAAGGCAGGGCGGGGCGGCCGGUUUGUCAGCAUUCCUCCGACACGUUUGCAUCUCUAAAAAGUACACGAGUGCUGCCGACACGCAGCAUAUCAUGCACGGUCUGACCACAUGUGCCUCACCUCUCACUGUGAGGUAGACCUCCAGCUCGCUCACGCCCAGCGGGUUCUCGCUGCGGCAGAAGUAGACGCCCUCGUCGUCCUUGCUGACGUUGGCAAUGGUCAGCCGGCAAGCGGGGCCGUCCUCGGACAGGAAGUACUUGGCGCCGACGACCACUUCCGCAUGCUCCAGGCCCCGCCUCCAGGUGGUGGCGGCGGGCGGGGUGGACGUGGACUCGGUGCAGGCGAGCGUGAUGUUGCUCCCCUCCUGAGCCGAGACCAGCGGCUCGCCUUCGGGGUACGGAGGCUCUGGAGGCGAGCAGCAAGUUGAAAAAAACAAAACAAAACAACAACAAGGUCGUACUUACCAAGCAAAAAGGAACACGAGCGUUCCCGCGCACGAGCGAGCGCCAGGUGCUGCGCCGUGCACCUGACUGUCUGACCGCCAGACAGCAGCGAGCGGUUCAGCGCCACCGUCAGGCUGUCCGUCACCUCCGAGGCGAAGACGCGCCCGGCCCCCUGCUCGCCCUGGUCCUCGGCCCAGCGCAGCGUGGGCGGCGGGUACGCCCCGGGCCAGCUGCAGUUGAAGAGCACCCGCGUGCGGUCCUGGGACUGGACCCACGUGCACUCAGGGUGUCUGUCUGGAACGUCUGGACCGCAUUCAAACACAACUUCAAUGGAUUUGCCAACUUUGCGCACAAAAACCAUUGAAUUGUAAACAUUUGGCAUAAAGUUGUGCAUUUCAAGGGUUAGCCUACUUUUCAGAUUUCAAUUGGUAACAUUUCACACUAAUUUGAACCUUUCACUUUUCAUAGAAAGGCUUCAUGGACACUUAAACAGUUUCAGCGCUCAUUCUCUAACUUCUCCUACAAAUUUGGACUCAGAUUUACGUGUUUUCCACAUCAUUUCGGGUGAUUUUUCGUACAAAGUUACACCCCAGAUUGAAAUCUUUCUUGCUAACUUUUCCUCCCCAAAAAAACCCCAUUCAAAUGUAAACAGUGUGUGUCAUGUUAUGCGUAUUCAACGUACAUUUACUGCAACACUUUCAACUUGCUAAUGCUAACUUUCCGUAGAAUGUUUAAAGAGAAUCAACGCUCAUUCUGUAACUUCUCGUACAAAUUUUGACUCUGGUUGUCGCGUUUCGGGUCAUUUUUUGUACAAAGUUACACCCAAAUGGAAAUGUUUCUUCAAUCUCUUGCUAACUUUUCGUAGAAAGUCUUUCAAAGUUUUCGAGACUUGAAUGUUUAAAGAGAAUCAACACUCGUUCUGCAACUUUUCAUACAAAUUUUGACUCCUAAUGAUGUGUAUUCCACAUCAUUUCGGGUGAUUUUUCAUACAAAGUUACACCCAAAUUGAAAUGUUUCUGCCAUUUCUUGCUAACUUUUCCUCCAAAAAAAGCAUUGAAAUGUAAAGAGUUUGCAUAAUGGUAUGCGUAUUUAACAUGCAGUCAUUGCAACUGUUUCAACUUGCUAUUGCUAACUUUGCAAAGAGAGUUUUUACAUUUUUUGAUUUUUUUAUUUAAUUGGUAACAUUUCGCACAAAUUUUCUUGAAAUGUUUCCAAGUUCUCCGUCAUUAUUCAUACGGUGUUUCAGCUAAAUGUAUCAUUUUUUUCCCAAAAUGACUCAAAUUGAAUGCAGUCAAGCAGACUCAAGCUUAUUUUGCUAACUUGAAAGUCAUUUUUGAGGGAAAAGACUUACAGUAGACCAGCAGCUGGGCGCUCUUGUUGGCCGCCUGGUGCGUGACGGUGUUGUUCGCCGUGCAGCUGUACACCCCCUGAGCGUCGGCCUGGAUGUCCUUCAGCCUAAAGUCCAGCCAGGGCGCCUCUGCGGUGGACGCCAGCGAGCCGUUGCCGGCACCCGCCCCUCUGAAGGUCCAGGUGAGAUGCUGGGACGGGUACGAGGAGGCCACGCAGUGGAAGGACACUGUGGAGCCGCGGUAGGUGACCAGCGUGCCGUUGGACAGGAGGGUGGUGGGGACGAUGGAAAUGGACACGUUUGCCGGAGCGCCUGGAGGACCACGCUGAUCUUAAACAUCUUCGUUCUUCUCACGCGGAAAACAAAACUUUUUUUCUUGGUAGAAUACAAUUUUUCUUUGAAUAUUUUUACUUUAAUCUCCUGAAAUUGCAGUACGUCUGUUUAUUCCAUUCAUCCUGUUUGUUUUUUUCCCCAAUAUUUGCAUGUUUGUUCUUGUAAUAUGACUUUAUUUACAUAUUUUGAAUUUGUUCCCAGAAUAUUACAACCUUUUUACACACCCUCAUUUUCCAAACGUGACUUUAUUUUGUUUUGUUUCUCAUGUGAUGUUUUUUUUUUUUACCUUUUUCAAUAUUUCAACUCUAUGCUACUAAAAUGACAUUAUUUUUCCUCAUAAUAUUAUGACGUUAUUCUUGUCAAUAUUUGGAUUUUAUCCUCGUGAAAUUUCAGCUAUUUUUCCCCUUUCUGAUGGGGGAGGGGUGGGGGGUUCAACUUUCUUGUUGAAUUUUUUUCUCUCGUAAUGAUGACUUUAUUCCCAGAAUAUUUUGACAUUAUUCUCAGAACACUAUUUUUUUCUGGAACUUAAUUUUCCAAAAAAUUUAAACUUGUAGUUUUUAAAAUGUAUUUUUCCAAAUUUUAUAUUAGAUUUUAGUGCUACUAAAAUGACAUUUUUGGUCCCCCAAAUAAAAUGUGUUUUUGCCAUAUAGUGAGACAUGCAGUGUGUAUUGUGACUUAAUCUGCCAAAUAAAGGUCAUGUGGCGUCGACGUUACUUACUCGCCACCAGCAGCAGGACGCG